rnacentral:rRNA from 1 species
UAUCCGCCAGGGUACUACGAGCAUAGCUUAAAACCCAAAGGACUUGGCGGUGUCUCAGACCCACCUAGAGGAGCCUGUUCUAGAACCGAUAACCCCCGUUAAACCUCACCACUUCUUGUUAAUUCCGCCUAUAUACCGCCGUCGCCAGCUUACCCCAUGAGGGUAAAAUAGUAAGCAAAAUGGAUAGACCCCCAAACGUCAGGUCGAGGUGUAGCGUACGAAGUGGGAGGAAAUGGGCUACAUUUUCUAUUACAGGAAAUCACGAAUGGUCUAUUGAAACACAUACCUGAAGGAGGAUUGAGUAGUAAAAGCAAACAGAG